UACGUAGGUGGCAAGCGUUAUCCGGAAUUAUUGGGCGUAAAGAGCGCGCAGGUGGUUGAUUAAGUCUGAUGUGAAAGCCCACGGCUUAACCGUGGAGGGUCAUUGGAAACUGGUCGACUUGAGUGCAGAAGAGGGAAGUGGAAUUCCAUGUGUAGCGGUGAAAUGCGUAGAGAUAUUGAGGAACACCAGUGGCGAAGGCGGCUUCCUGGUCUGUAACUGACACUGAGGCGCGAAAGCGUGGGGAGCAAACAGGAUUAGAUACCCG
rnacentral:rRNA from 1 species